ACAGAGGUCCCGAGCGUUGUUCGGAUUCACUGGGCGUAAAGGGUGCGUAGGCGGCUGGGUAAGUCUGAUGUGAAAUCUCCGGGCCCAACCCGGAAAUGGCAUUAGAAACUACCUGGCUGGAGGCUUGGAGGGGGAACUGGAAUUCUCGGUGUAGCAGUGAAAUGCGUAGAGAUCGAGAGGAACACCAGUGGCGAAGGCGAGUUCCUGGACAAGUCCUGACGCUGAGGCACGAAAGCCAGGGGAGCAAACAGGA
rnacentral:rRNA from 1 species